CCUUGCUUUCCUCUCCACCACUUGCUCAAGUGGAAAAAUUGUCUAAGGGGACUCGGCCACAGAGCACAGCCUGGAGCCCCUUUGUAGAUACUGAGAGGCGAGUCUUGGGACUUACACAGACCUUUCUCAUUUGGCUUCUGCGUCCAGGUGAGGUAAAAGAAGCCACGCGUGUCAUGCACCAAGAGGCUGAUGAAGAACUUCAAGUCAGCUGGAUGCACAAAGCAGUGACAUGCAUUUGAUCUGAACCC